GACGAACGCUGGCGGCGUGCCUAAUACAUGCAAGUCGAGCGCAGGAAACUGACGGAACUCUUCGGAGGGAAGGCAGCGGAAUGAGCGGCGGACGGGUGAGUAACACGUAAGGAACCUGCCUCAAGGAUUGGGAUAACUCCGAGAAAUCGGAGCUAAUACCGAAUAGUUCAACGGACCGCAUGGUCCGCUGAUGAAAGGCGCUCCGGCGUCACCUUGAGAUGGCCUUGCGGUGCAUUAGCUAGUUGGUGGGGUAACGGCCCACCAAGGCGACGAUGCCUGACCGGCCUGAGAGGGUGAUCGGCCACACUGGGACUGAGACACGGCCCAGACUCCUACGGGAGGCAGCAGUAGGGAAUCUUCCACAAUGGACGAAAGUCUGAUGGAGCAACGCCGCGUGAGUGAUGAAGGUUUUCGGAUCGUAAAACUCUGUCGUAAGGGAAGAACACGUACGAGAGGGAAUGCUCGUACCUUGACGGUACCUUACGAGAAAGCCACGGCUAACUACGUGCCAGCCGCCGCAGUAAUAC
rnacentral:rRNA from 1 species